rnacentral:tmRNA from 1 species
GGGGAUGAUCGGUUUCGACAUCGCCUGUGAAACUGCGAGAAGCGGGCCGAGGAUGCAGGGUUAUCUCGUUAACGAUCUCUGCAAACCAUAGGUGCCAACGUUAAGCGCACCGACGUCGCUCUCGCUGCCUAAGCAGAGUUGAACGUCCGUCAGACCGGACUCGCCCUCGAUCCGGCUCCUGGCGUCAUCUAGAGGGCUUGCUGCGCGGCUGAGUUCCAGGGUCGCGCGGGACUUUCACUGGGGCUGGGCUCGUCGACCUAGGUGUUCGUGACAAAGGUCGGAGCCGAGUAGAACGUUCUCACGGACUGCGCCCGGAGAAGGCGCAGGAUCUCAGCGAUGGACGGGGGUUCAAUUCCCCCCAUCUCCACCA